CCUGGACCUGUCUGUUGUAGUGAUGGGAUUCUGCUCCUUCUUUUAUCCUUUCUCAAACAGCGCUUGGGUCACUGGGCCUAGAACAGGGUCUGUGGUCCAUGGCAAAUGAACUCAAUGUAACUCUCCCUCCUCUCUCACUGCAGUUCCCAAGACAAACAGCGACUUGGAGAAGACUUUUCUUAGAAAUGAGACACAAGGAAAUUAUAAAACUGGAGACCAGACUGGAAGAUUUCUUGCCACAGUGACACUUCAACUGCACACAGAAGGCUUGAGUGAGCUACUGAGAAGACAGAGAUGAUAAAAAGUAUCUAGCAAGAAGUUGCUAGCUUAUCUCUGCAGGCAAGAUAUUUCUGCUGGUAUCAUUAUCUGGUGGAUUGUGUGUGGGAUUCAGUGGAAGUUCUGCAUCAGAGGAUGUGGGGUGAAGAAAUGGGCCCCCUAAAUUUGGGGUCAUCCUUUCAUCCUUUCAUCCUGCAGGAAAGGGAGACAGGAGAUUUCUGCCUUCAACCAUUCAUCUGUGUCCAACUCCCAGACUGAAAGGAGCUGUGUAAUGAAU